rnacentral:rRNA from 1 species
GAUGAACGCUGGCGGCGUGCCUAAUACAUGCAAGUCGAGCGAACAGACGAGGAGCUUGCUCCUCUGACGUUAGCGGCGGACGGGUGAGUAACACGUGGAUAACCUACCUAUAAGACUGGGAUAACUUCGGGAAACCGGAGCUAAUACCGGAUAAUAUAUUGAACCGCAUGGUUCAAUAGUGAAAGACGGUUUUGCUGUCACUUAUAGAUGGAUCCGCGCCGCAUUAGCUAGUUGGUAAGGUAACGGCUUACCAAGGCAACGAUGCGUAGCCGACCUGAGAGGGUGAUAGGCCACACUGGAACUGAGACACGGUCCAGACUCCUACGGGAGGCAGCAGUAGGGAAUCUUCCGCAAUGGGCGAAAGCCUGACGGAGCAACGCCGCGGGAGUGAUGAAGGUCUUCGGAUCGUAAAACUCUGUUAUUAGGGAAGAACAAAUGUGUAAGUAACGAUGCACGUCUUGACGGUACCUAAGCAGAAAGCCACGGCUAACUACGU